AAUCCGGCCUUUUUGGGGGGGGGAGUUGGGGAAAACAUUCCCCACCCUUCCCCGAAGUGCACAUGGCAAUGAGCGAUGCCCGGUACAAGCUGCUUGGUGGUGGACAGUACCCAUCCGAGUGUGAUGAGGAUGCCCCAGUCCCUCCUGCCCUUCCAGUUCCAUUCUGUCAUUGUGAACCGGGCAAUCAGCUGGCAAAGGUGAAGCAAUCGAGGCAUCCCAAGACGGCCGGUAGAGCAUUCUACAUAUGCAAGUCGAAUGAUUCAUUGAAUCCUUGCCACUGCUUUUUCUUUCAGUGGAUCGAUGGUCCGGAUAAGUUCGAUCCUAGAAUUCGGCUGUUCCCUUAUUAUCGGUCAGAGUCGUGGGCGUACAAUGAGUUUACACGAUGGGUCCCUCCCCCCACCAAAUCCACCACCUAUGACAGAGGAAGAGAAGCAAGAAGCUGCUAUAUAUCGUGUGAACAAUCCUCCCAAAUGUCAUUGCGGUGUUCGUGCCAAACUUCAAAGGCCUAA